UUAAAUUGAAGAGUUUGAUCAUGGCUCAGAUUGAACGCUGGCGGCAGGCCUAACACAUGCAAGUCGAACGGUAACAGGAAGCAGCUUGCUGYUUUGCUGACGAGUGGCGGACGGGUGAGUAAUGUCUGGGAAACUGCCUGAUGGAGGGGGAUAACUACUGGAAACGGUAGCUAAUACCGCAUAACGUCGCAAGACCAAAGAGGGGGACCUUAGGGCCUCUUGCCAUCGGAUGUGCCCAGAUGGGAUUAGCUAGUAGGUGGGGUAACGGCUCACCUAGGCGACGAUCCCUAGCUGGUCUGAGAGGAUGACCAGCCACACUGGAACUGAGACACGGUCCAGACUCCUACGGGAGGCAGCAGUGGGGAAUAUUGCACAAUGGGCGCAAGCCUGAUGCAGCCAUGCCGCGUGUAUGAAGAAGGCCUUCGGGUUGUAAAGUACUUUCAGCGGGGAGGAAGGGAGUAAAGUUAAUACCUUUGCUCAUUGACGUUACCCGCAGAAGAAGCACCGGCUAACUCCGUGCCAGCAGCCGCGGUAAUACGGAGGGUGCAAGCGUUAAUCGGAAUUACUGGG
rnacentral:rRNA from 1 species